rnacentral:tRNA from 1 species
CGCGGGAUGGAGCAGUGGUAGCUCGUCGGGCUCAUAACCCGAAGGUCGGGGGUUCGAAUCCCUCUCCCGCUA